CCUACGGGAGGCAGCAGUGGGGAAUAUUGGACAAUGGGGGGAACCCUGAUCCAGCGACGCCGCGUGAGUGAAGAAGUAUUUCGGUAUGUAACGCUCUAUCAGCAGGGAAGAAAGAAAUGACGUUACUCGACUAAGAAGCUGCGGCUAACUACGUGCCAGCAGCCGCGGUAAUACGUAGGGGGCAAGCGUUAUCCGGAUUUACUGGGUGUAAAGGGAGCGUAGACGGCGAUGCAAGUCUGAAGUGAAAGGCGCGGGCCCAACCUCGGGACUGCUUUGGAAACUGUAUGGCUGGAGUGCAGGAGAGGUAAGUGGAAUUCCUAGUGUAGCGGUGAAAUGCGUAGAUAUUAGGAGGAACACCAGUGGCGAAGGCGGCUUACUGGACUGUAACUGACGUUGAGGCUCGAAAGCGUGGGGAGCAAACAGGAUUAGAUACCCUUGUAGUC
rnacentral:rRNA from 1 species